AGAGUUUGAUCCUGGCUCAGGACGAACGCUGGCGGCGCGCCUAACACAUGCAAGUCGAACGGAGCUUAGAGAGCUUGCUUUUUAAGCUAGUGGCGAACGGGUGAGUAACGCGUGAGUAACCUGCCCUAGAGUGGGGGACAACAGUUGGAAACGACUGCUAAUACCGCAUAAGCCCACGGUAUCGCAUGAUACUGAGGGAAAAGGAUUUAUUCGCUUUAGGAUGGACUCGCGUCCAAUUAGCUAGUUGGUGAGGUAACGGCCCACCAAGGCGACGAUUGGUAGCCGGACUGAGAGGUUGAACGGCCACAUUGGGACUGAGACACGGCCCAGACUCCUACGGGAGGCAGCAGUGGGGGAUAUUGCACAAUGGGGGAAACCCUGAUGCAGCGACGCCGCGUGGAGGAAGAAGGUUUUCGGAUUGUAAACUCCUGUCGUUAGGGACGAUAAUGACGGUACCUAACAAGAAAGCACCGGCUAACUACGUGCCAGCAGCCGCGGUAAAACGUAGGGUGCAAGCGUUGUCCGGAAUUACUGGGUGUAAAGGGAGCGCAGGCGGGAAGACAAGUUGGAAGUGAAAACCAUGGGCUCAACCCAUGAAUUGCUUUCAAAACUGUUUUUCUUGAGUAGUGCAGAGGUAGAUGGAAUUCCCGGUGUAGCGGUGGAAUGCGUAGAUAUCGGGAGGAACACCAGUGGCGAAGGCGGUCUACUGGGCACCAACUGACGCUGAGGCUCGAAAGCAUGGGUAGCAAACAGGAUUAGAUACCCUGGUAGUCCAUGCCGUAAACGAUGAUUACUAGGUGUUGGAGGAUUGACCCCUUCAGUGCCGCAGUUAACACAAUAAGUAAUCCACCUGGGGAGUA
rnacentral:rRNA from 1 species